rnacentral:lncRNA from 1 species
GUUCGGUUGUUGACUGGUUUUAUUAUUGAAUCUGCCAAAGUACCGACUUUUGAAAUUCCUCGAGAGUAAAUAUAUUUCGUACUUCCUGGUUAAGUAAAGAAACAGAGAUACAAAUACGAUUAACAUUGAAGUAAAAAAUGCAUAUUGUACAGUUGACCGCGGUUUUUUAUCGACACAAAAUUGAGAGAUAGAAAUUGCCUCAACGUUUUUAUCGGGAAAACGAC